rnacentral:rRNA from 1 species
CCUUAGUAACGGCGAGUGAAGCGGCAAAAGCUCAGAUUUGAAAUCUGGCGUCAUUUUGGCGUCCGAGUUGUAAUCUGUAGAGGAGUAUUCGAGUGUAGCUUUGGCUUAAGUUCCUUGGAACAGGGCGUCAUAGAGGGUGAGAACCCCGUUAACGGCCUUAGUCUUAUGCUCAUGUGAAUCUCCUUCAACGAGUCGAGUUGUUUGGGAAUGCAGCUCUAAAUGGGUGGUAAAUUCCAUCUAAAGCUAAAUACUGGCAAGAGACCGAUAGCGCACAAGUAGAGUGAUCGAAAGAUGAAAAGAACUCUGAACAGAGAGUUAAAUAGUACGUGAAAUUGUUGAAAGGGAAGCACUUGCGACCAGACACACUUGCAAUUGAUCAACCUCCAUUUUUGGUGGUGCACUCGGUUGUAGGUGGGUCAGCAUCANUUACGGCGGUGGGAAAAAGACCAAGGGAAUGUGGCUCUCUUCGGGGAGUGUUAUAGCCCUUGGUGUAAUGCCGCCAGCUGUGACUGAGGACCGCGCUUUUGUGAGGAUGCUGACAUAAUGGUCGUAAGUGACCCGUCUUGAAACACGGACCAAGGAGUCUAACAUCUAUGCGAGUGUUUGGGUGUCAAA